UAUAUUUAGUGCUUCAUGUAUGUGUCGCAAGAUUAGAUGUGAUGGAGAAUCUGUGAAAUUUUGCAAAAUAUUUUGGGAACUAAACAAGGCCUAAUAAAUAUAGCUAAGAUUGAUAAUUCAAUAUUGAUUCAAAGUGUUCAAACACAAGAAAUCAUAAAAUAAGCAUAGAAAAAUACCAAAUAUAUGGAGUCUUUUGCUAAAAAAAAAAUAUGUUAAAAAAAUUUGAGCCCA
rnacentral:lncRNA from 1 species